rnacentral:rRNA from 1 species
GGAAUCUUCCACAAUGGACGAAAGUCUGAUGGAGCAACGCCGCGUGAGUGAAGAAGGGUUUCGGCUCGUAAAACUCUGUUGUUAAAGAAGAACAUAUCUGAGAGUAACUGUUCAGGUAUUGACGGUAUUUAACCAGAAAGCCACGGCUAACUACAUGCCAG